AGAAGUAUUCCUCGUCGUCAUCUACGUGGGUACCGAGUUACAAUUGAACACAUGGAAGAAAAUGUUGUAAGUAUCGUACAUUACAAUCUUUAAGUUAUCUAAACUUCUUAUUUACAUUAUAACAAUUACAACCAACAAUAUACUACUACAACCAACAAUAUCAACAACAAACCAGCAUACGCCCACCCAUACAAUACACUCAAAUUCCUUAACCAAACUUUGAUAGCUCAAAC
rnacentral:lncRNA from 1 species